rnacentral:lncRNA from 1 species
GUUGAAUUGAUUGUGAUAGAAAUUACCCUGUGUGAGAUUUGAGCCACUUGAUAUUCUUUCUUGUGUGUGAUAUGUCUCUUGAUUACUUGCACAUAUGCCUUGGCUUGACUCUUUUUGAUGUGUCUUGAUUUAUAUGCAUGUUUGGAAGUGAUAAAGGCAGUUUUGUUGUUGAGCCUCUCUAGCCAGAUGAGCCUACCUUGUUGUGAUCCUUUGAUAGCCCCUUUGAGACUUUACUUUCCACAGUUCUUUGUUUUCAAGCUCAUACACUAGCCCAAAGUGAAAAAUCAUGAUUACCUUAACCUUAGGGAAUUUUNGAGCUUUGGAAUUGUUUUGGGAAUAAGUGUGGUCUCCCGGGAGAUUCAAAUGAAUUGGCUAGUUGGUUCCUCUUCUUGUUUUGUUUUUAUAUAUAUACGUGUGUCUUGUCUCUUGAAGUUGUGUUAUGAAAAGAGAGAUCAGAAAAGAAACAAGAUGAAAAAAAUAAAAAAAAAAGAAAAAAAAAGAAAAAAAAUAAUAAAUACAGAAAAAUGAGAAAAAAAAAAGGUUGUGAAUAAAGGAGUCAAGAAGAGGAUUGAAUUAGAGGGUUUUGGGUGUGAUUUGAUUGUGUUUCACCUGUUCCCCAUUGCUCCUCUAUUCCUUUUGGUUUGUAACUUCUCAUCCAUAUUAUUUCCUCCCUUUUCCU